rnacentral:rRNA from 1 species
UACGUAGGGUGCAGGCGUUAAUCGGAAUUACUGGGCGUAAAGCGUGCGCAGGCGGUUUCUUAAGUCAGAUGUGAAAGCCCCGGGCUUAACCUGGGAACUGCGUUUGAAACUGGGAGACUUGAGUGUGGCAGAGGGGGGUGGAAUUCCACGUGUAGCAGUGAAAUGCGUAGAUAUGUGGAGGAACACCAAUGGCGAAGGCAGCCCCCUGGGUUAACACUGACGCUCAUGCACGAAAGCGUGGGGAGCAAAAGGG